rnacentral:rRNA from 1 species
UGGCGGCACGUUAACACAUGCCAGUCGAACAGGAUCUUCGGAUCUAGUGGCAGACGGGUGAGUAACGCGUGGGAACCUGCCCAGUAGUAGAGAAUAACUUGAGGAAACUUAAGCUAAUACUUUAUACACCCUCUGGGGAAAAGCUUUAUGCGCUAUUGGAUGGGCCCGCGUUAGAUUAGUUUGUUGGUGAGGUAAUGGCUCACCAAGACUACGAUCUAUAGCUCGUCUGAGAGGAUGAUCAGCCACACUGGGACUGAGACACGGCCCAGACUCCUACGGGAGGCAGCCGUGGGGAAUAUUGGAC